rnacentral:rRNA from 1 species
UUUUCCGCAAUGGGCGAAAGCCUGACGGAGCAAUGCCGCGUGAGUGAAGAAGGUUUUCGGAUCGUAAAGCUCUGUUGUUGGUGAAGAAGGAUAGAGGUAGUAACUGGCCUUUAUUUGACGGUAAUCAACCAGAAAGUAACGGCUAACUACGUGCCAGCAGCCGCGGUAAUACGUAGGUGGCAAGCGUUGUCCGGAUUUAUUGGGCGUAAAGCGAGCGCAGGCGGAAGUAUAAGUCUGAUGUGAAAGCCCUCGGCUUAACCGAGGAAUUGCAUCGGAAACUGUUUUUCUUGAGUGCAGAAGAGGAGAGUGGAACUCCAUGUGUAGCGGUGGAAUGCGUAGAUAUAUAGAAGAACACCAGUGGCGAAGGCGGCUCUCUGGUCUGCAACUGACGCUGAGGCUCGAAAGCAUGGGUAGCGAACAG